rnacentral:rRNA from 1 species
UACGUAGGGCGCAAGCGUUAUCCGGAAUUAUUGGGCGUAAAGAGCUCGUAGGCGGUUUGUCGCGUCUGCCGUGAAAGUCCGGGGCUCAACCCCGGACUUGCAGUGGGUACGGGCAGACUAGAGUGUGGUAGGGGAGACUGGAAUUCCUGGUGUAGCGGUGAAAUGCGCAGAUAUCAGGAGGAACACCGAUGGCGAAGGCAGCCUCCUGGGAGUAACACUGACGCUCAUGCACGAAAGCGUGGGAGCAACAGG